GAGAUAUAAACUUUAUAAAUACCUAGAUUUCAUCGAUUUCUCUCAUUCUCUCAUCAUUGUUCAGACAAAGAAGAUGAGUGGUGUUAACAUAGUUUCUGAAGAUGGAAAGAAAGAACCGAACAAGAUGAGAAAGGCGAUGGAAAAACUCAAAUCUGUAUUCCAUAAGAAAGAACCUAAUCAUCACAACGAAGACUCAAGUGAGACUUCGCCAUAUUUAGCCGAGGACCAAGCAUAUAGUCUGUUCAAAAUCCAGCAAAAGUUAAAUCAGAGAAAGUUUAUCCUUCAAAAAUACAAUGAUAUUCUUGAAAGGCCAAGAUGAGCAGAUGAACAACCUAAUGGUGAAGAGCAAAGAUAUGAACAGAAAGACAUUUCUUUUGCAUACGGUUGAGAAGGAAACAAAUUGAACGAAUUCAGGAUGUACACGAGCUUGAAUAUAUGUUUAUGCUUUGCGAUAUCAAG